AAAAUUUGUCCUGUCUCAUUCGUCCACGAAAGAGUGACGUGAUCAAAAAUGGCGUCAACAUCACCCCCAAAGCUAUAAAAACCGGAAACUCUGGGAAGUUAUACAGAUUUUAUUUUUGAAUAAACCGAAAUAAUAUAUCAGAACGAUGUGCAAGCUUUUAACAGUGAUGAUGGCUGCUAGCUUUCUCGUAGUCGAAUGCUUCAAACAUCCAAAAAUCGCCAUCGAAUCCGAAGAUAAUCUUCAAAUGGAAACACCUUUUGACAAGCAGGACAAACUCUGGUUUGCGAGAGAUUCUUUGAAUCCUUUUGGUUUGGGCAUUUUCGAUCGAAUGAUGAGAAAACCAGAUAUUCGUUCCCUCGACUCCAACACAAAAGAACCGAAACGGGGAGGAAACAGGAAGUUUCAAACACAGGGAUGGCGUUAAAUCAAUCAUCUUUACUGUUUUUGAUUAGAAAACGAUAAACGAAAAAGUAAAUAAAAUAAAAAUCUUUAUAUGUAGGUUAUUGUUACUAAAAUAAAGGACUACUGUGGCA